AAAUAUCAUGUUUAUUCUGGGGGUGGGGGGGAAGAGGGGGAAGAAGAAAAAAAAAAGAGGAGGGGAGGCAAAAUUGGCAAUAGUUUUUCCCCUAAUCGGCCAUAUCCUCACAAAGGUAUUGUAUAUACACAGGCCUAAGAAGCUGAUCAGAGUCAGCCAAGAAAAAGUUGAUUAUCACCCAGCCAAUUCCCACUAGUCAAAUCCCAAUUUGACAGUUCCUUUGUAAAACUCCUGUUAGUCUUAACCUGUUUCUGCAAAAACAGUAUCAAAGGCUAACAUUCCUAAUGUUCGUAGUAAAACAAAAAAUAUCAUAAAACUUGGAUGAAUAAAGCAACAAUUAAAAUCAACCUACAGGCCAGGCAAGGUGGCUUAAUGCCUAUAAUCCCAGCACUUUCGAAGGCUGAGGCAGAUAGCCUGAGCUCAGAAGUUUGAGACCAGCCUGGGCAACAGAGUGAAACUCUGUCUCAAAAAAAAAAAAAAAAAAAAAAAAAAAAGCUGGUCAUGGCAGCACAUGCCUGUAGUCCCAGUUACUCAGGAGGAUGAGGUGGGAGGAUCAACUGAGCCUGGAAGGUUGGGGCUGUAGUAUGCUGUGAUUACACCACUGCACUCUAGUCUGGGCAACAGAGCAAGACUCUGUCUCAAAAAAAUAAAUAACAUCAACCUGCAAAUGCAAAAUCAUUAUUCUUGUAGUAUUUUAGGAUGUUUUUGUGGUUAUCUCUAAAUUCAAAAUGGAUCCCCCAUCUGAGGAAACCAAACUGACUUACGAGCAAAAUAGGAAAAAUAAAUUUGCCUUAUUACCCAAAUAUUCUAUGCUCUUCUAAAAACUUACAAUCUGUACUAAUACCUUUACCUGGUUUUAUAAGAACAAAAAAGGGGGAAAGAAUAUCCAACUAGAAACCCAAAAAUAGGCUUAUACAAAGAGUAAGUAAGUUGCUCUUUUCUUUGAACAGUCUCAUGCAAAACCAACAUUUCUAGUUUGCUAAGCUUCUGUAACACAGGAUAUUUCAGGGAGUCUGGGCUUCAAUGUGCAGCAUAAAACUCUUUUAAGGGCAAUGUAAGCAAGGGAACAAGAGAACAUAAAAGCAGUAGCAAGGCCCAGAUUGUGUUGAGGCAUUUUGAGCAGAGGAAUGGUAGGAGAUGACUUACUCUAAAGAAUCAUUUUGGCCGGGUGUGGUGGCUCACGCCUGUAAUCCCAGCAUUCUGGGAGGCCAAGGCAGGCAGAUCACGAGGUCAGGAGUUCGAGACCAGCCUGGCCAACAUAGUGAAACCCCAUCUCUACUAAAAAUACAAAAAAUUAGCAGGGCAUGGGGGUGUGUGCCUGUAGUCCCAGCUACUCGGGAGGCUAAGACAGGAGAAUAACGUGAACCUGGGAGGCAGAGGUUGCAGUGAGCCGAGAUCACGCCAUUGCACAUCCAGCCCAGGUGACAGUGUGAGACUCAGUCUCAAAAAAAAACCAAAAAAACAAAAAAAAGAAUCAUUUUGGCUGUUGGGUAGAGAACAGUCAAGGCUACUGGGGGUAAGGGGCAAAAGAAGACCAAUUAGAAAGCGUCAUUAACCCCAGCAAGAGACAAUAUAGCAAUGAAAAGGUAGUAGAGAUAGAAGUGGUGGGAUGUUACUGAUUCUGGAUAUACUUUGAAAAUACUGCCCAUAGGAUUUGAGUGGAUUAAUUAAAUAGGAUAGAAAAAGAGAAGUCAAGCUUUUUGUGUCAGCAACCGGAAGCAAGGAUUUUCUAUUUAUUGAUGAAGAGCAUUGUAAGAAAAAUCUAUUCUUCUCGUGCCAUGCAGAGACAGCUCAACGGACAAGGAACAAGAAAUUAAAGUUUCCAUUUUAGACACAUUAUGUUUGAAAACCUAUCACAUAUCCAAACAAAGAUGCCAAGUAAAGUGCUAGUUAAACCAGACUAGAGAUCAAGAAGAUGGAGCCUAGAGAUAUAAACAUAAAUGUGGGAGACAUCAGUGUGUGAAUGGCAUUAAAGCCAAAUGCAGGAGCAAGUAUAAAUGGAGAGGCUAAGAUGACUAAGGACAGGGGUUUUGGGUGCACCAUUUUUUAGAGGCUGGAAGGAUGAGGAAGAACCUUAUGGUUCAGUAACAGACCAAGUUGGAGUCAUCAUUCUUAACCACUCUUCAAACCAAGCCAAACUUUUGUGAUUUGGCCUAGCUCAAGAACUGAAACUAAUGUAAAAUUAUCUCAUUUAUUCAUUCUUUUCAAUAAAUAUUUAUUCAAUAUUUUCUACACUCCAUGCACUGUUGUAGACUUUGGGGACACCACUGUGAACAGAAAUUCAUGGAACUUGAUUUUAUUGUUGGUCUUUCUCAUUAGAAACAAAGAAACAGAUAACUAAUGUUAAGCAGUAGGCAACUGCUGCAAAGAAAAUUAAGCAGAGUUUGGUGAUGGUGUAACAGAAAUGCUACUUUAGAUAGGAAGGUAAAGAUGUGCAAAAAGGCACUUAUUGGAAUUAAAAAGGAGAAGGGCAAAGGCAGAGAAAAUUUGAGGGUAUGAACUUAUUAAAAGAACGGGAUACUGUUAUAAAGAACCUUUUCAAAAAAGAAACAUACUGAAUUACUUUUAAAAAACUGUCCUAAUAUUACACAAAAGAUAUUUGUGUUUUAGAAUAAAAUUUCUAAAGAUAGCAUCAUUGACACAUUCAAACUGCUGUAUCUUAAACAAUUUAAAUGGAAGUGAAUUUAAUGCAUUUUGCAAAACUAUUAAAUAACAAAAUAUAACUCCAGUGAGGAAGAUACUAAUGUCAGAUGUAGAUGGAAUGUGAAGGUGAAACCCCCAUACACUGCCGGCAGGAAUGUAAAGUGGUACAACCUCUGAGGAAAAGUGUGGCAGUUCCCAAAAAAGUUUAGAGUCAUCAUAUGUCCCAUCAGUUCCACUCCUGGGUAUAUACCUAAGAGAACUGACAAGGUAUGUCCACAUAAAAACUUCUACACAAAUUUUCGUAACAGCAUUAUUCAUGAUGGCCAAAAGUGCAAACAACCCAAAUAUGCAUCAAUCAAUGAAUGGACAAACAAAAUGUGAAUGGAUAAACAAACAAAAAAUACACACACACACACACACACACACACACAGUAUAUAUAAUGGAGUUAUCCAGCAAUAAAAUGGAAUAAAAUACUGAUACAUGACACACAUAGAUGAAAACAUUAUGCUAAAUGAGAGAACCUGGGGCACAAAAGGCCAUAUAUUGUGUGAUUCCAUUUGUAUGAGAUGUCCAGAAAAGGUAAAUCCACAGAGACAGAAAGUAGAUUAGUGGUUGCCAGGAGCCAGGUUGAGGGAAGAAUAGGGAGUGACUGCUAAUGGGUACAA
rnacentral:lncRNA from 1 species